rnacentral:rRNA from 1 species
UGGGGAAUUUUGGACAAUGGGCGAAAGCCUGAUCCAGCAAUGCCGCGUGUGUGAAGAAGGCCUUCGGGUUGUAAAGCACUUUUGUCCGGAAAGAAAUCCUUGGCUCUAAUACAGUCGGGGGAUGACGGUACCGGAAGAAUAAGCACCGGCUAACUACGUGCCAGCAGCCGCGGUAAUACGUAGGGUGCAAGCGUUAAUCGGAAUUACUGGGCGUAAAGCGUGCGCAGGCGGUUUGCUAAGACCGAUGUGAAAUCCCCGGGCUCAACCUGGGAACUGCAUUGGUGACUGGCAGGCUAGAGUAUGGCAGAGGGGGGUAGAAUUCCACGUGUAGCAGUGAAAUGCGUAGAGAUGUGGAGGAAUACCGAUGGCGAAGGCAGCCCCUGGGCCAAUACUGACGCUCAUGCACGAAAGCGUGGGGAGCAAAACAGGAUUAGAUACCCUGGUAGUCCACGCCCUAAACGAUGUCAACUAGUUGUUGGGAUUCAUUUCCUUAGUAACGUAGCUAACGCGUGAAGUUGACC